CAAACCAACCACUGAUGGGCUUGUAGC
rnacentral:piRNA from 1 species